UUCUGUAUCCGAUUCAAAGUUCUUGACAUUUGAUUUUGAUAUUGGUUCUGGAAGAGAGCCACCCUCUUUUGUUUUACGCAUAAAUCCUCCAUUCUAUGUUUUGAUCUGAAGCUAACUCAAUCCACAAUCAAGGUUUCAAAGAAGAAAUUUAUGGUUUCCAUUUCCCCAUCGAAUUCAUCGUUUCAAAUCUCUAAACCUCUGAUUCGUUGAAUCCUAAAUAGUUCCUUCAUUCGCCAAACCCCAAAUCCUUCAUUCACGAAAUCCUAAAUCGUUUCGAUUUCCUUAUCGCUGUGUCUCCUCUUCCUUUACCAGUGAACCCUAAAUCCAUCUCCCCAAACCCUCUCAUCUUCCCCAGCAAUAUUCUGUCAGUAGAUCUAAAUCUGAACUAAUAUUGUAACGACUUGAGGGUUUCCAUGCUAGCGGCUAUGGUUCAUAUUCGAUAGCAAUCGUUGAUUUGGGUGAUCUACGAUCUACUUGAAAAAUCAUCUGAUCAUUUGGAACUCAGAGAGGACCUAGAGCAGGGGAUAGUUGUAGCUGGGCUAAGAUGUAUCAAGGUCAACUCAGCUGAUAAGAUUCUUGAGCUUUUCAAUGUUGGGAACAGUAGGCGCAAAAUUGACAACAUAGAUGCCAACGAGACAUCAUCACGGCGAGUCAUACACACAAGUGGUGUAUGUACAAUUUAUUAUUUUUUUUUGUUCCGAGUGUUCAGAGUAUACAUGUUGCUUUUUAAAAUAGGUCUCGUGAACUUUUGGAAAUAACUGUGCUUAGAAAACAGAAAAGGAAAUACCAUAGUCAAGUUAUUUGUGGUAAACUCGCACUUGUGGAUCUUGCUAGGAGGAUUGUUUUCGAAGUCCUAGAUAUGGCAUACAUCUUCCUUCUCGAUGAAGCCUCUUAAAUCUAAACAUUCAAGCAUCAGGUACAAACAUCUCAUAAGAAAAUCCGUUGCAGUUUGAAGGUCUAUUGUAAACUUCACAAACAUCUCAUACGAAGAUUUGUCAGGAGAACUAUUGCAUUCUAUUCUAUUUAUAAAAUCUAAGUUUUGCAUGUAGAUUGGUAAUUUCAUUUUUUGUGCACUAUUAUCAUUUCUAAGUGUAACCAUUUCAGGCGAAAGCUGGGUCUGGUUCUACAACAUUAUCAAUGGCGUAUGCAGCAGUUAAGUUUGCAGAUCGCUCUCUCAAGGGCUUAAAAGGAGAUGCUAACAUUAUGGAGUGUGCUUUUAUAGAAUCUCGGGUUUGGUUUGGAAGAAGUUAAAAAAGAGUUGGCAGGAAGCAUUGAGAAAGGAGUUUGUACCUUAAAUAGAUGUAUCAGAAUACCUAUUUAUACUAUGCUAAUCUUAUUACAUCCAUGCUUUUAAAACUUUUAUUGAAGGUGUACCACACAAUGUUUUUUAAAUUAACAAAAACCUUAUUAAAAGAUAUAUAAAACUUCACCAGGUACAAUUGUUGAUCAAGUAUCUUUGGGAUGCUGCAGAUGGUAACGCGUCGGAACUUGUGACUGUAGAUGACGAUGUGGGUCCGGUUACGAGUGUUAAGUGGCAAGGACCCGACUGAUCAAACUGGUAUAGACAAUUACAUGGUGCAGGAACUAGAUGGAACCAAAAAUGAGCGGGGUUGGUGCAAGCAAAAGCUUGGCGCAAAUGCCAUUCUGGCGGUGUCUCUUACAGCUGCAAAGCGGGAGCGAGUGUCAAAAACAUUCCUCUUUACAAGACAUAUGAACUGUUGAAAAAAGGUCAGAAGACGCUUUAGAUGUAUUAUAUUGGGUUUUUUAAAAAGCUGAAAACUUGAGGAGAAAAUGGAAGUUGUAAAUGAACAAGAUUCUCAUCAUCCACUCCCUCCUGUUCGUGCUUCAACUCCUCAACAUAUAAACAGAUACAUGGAGUUCACCAGCGGGAUUUGAUAAUGAAGUUUUAAAUGUUGAAUUUGAGAAAAUGGCUAAAGCUUUUGUGGUUGGAGUUUCCACAUAUUCACAAUCUUUGCCUCUUACGAGGAGGUGAUCUAUCAAAAGUCAUAGAAUCCUUCAAAGCCAUGGACUUGAUGCACUAUCUAAACAAAAUCAAUAAGAGGAUACUUAUCUAUAUGUUGCUGCAGAGAAUGGCAUGUUUAUGUAGGGAGCUUUUCGAACCCGCUUUCUAUCUUUGAUAAUGGAAUUUUCUAUGAAAUGAACUCGAUGAUGCUUAGGGACCGUGGUUGGUCAUGCAAGGCGUGAGGAAAAAAGCUUGUUUGUUUGGCAUUGAUAUAGGCUGAUCAACAGUUCGAUUAUAGAAAUGGCUUUUUUGACACAUGUGCAUAUGACAUCCAUCACUUUCAAAGCAUGACUUACAACCAGUUCUGCAUAAGAGCAUAGUACCAAAUCUUACUGGCCAGUCGGAGCGGAAAGUAGCUACACAAGCAGCCCAGUCAAGUACUCUUGAACCGCCUUCAUUUGGGCCAGUCGGUUCUGUGCUGGUUGUUGAACCGGCGAACCGGAUUGAUGCAUUGCUGUGGCGUACGAACGACCACACCCAUGAAAGGAAGUCCCGGAUCUGGUGGUGACGUGACUAGGGUUCCGUCGUUGGAGCUGUGACUGUGGCGUAAGAACGGGUAUUCAGGUCAACGGUGGUGGUUGUGGCAGCAAGAACAAAACAUAUUGUAUUGGACUUUGCUUCUGUUGCGGGUAAAAAAUGCACUUACGACGCCCUAUGAUUGAACCAGAAAGUUUGAAAGUUUGUUGGAGGUACUUUGUUUGUGUAACUGGUACAUUAAGAUACUUUUUGUAAGAAAAAUACAUGCAGCCAUAAUUUUUUUUUCUUCGGUUCAAAUUGUUUUGUUAA